UCCAGGCCUACGCCCGACCGCGCUGCUCACCUUUUGCUUUCCGGUUUCCCUUUCCUUUCCCCAUUUCCCUUUCCUCCAUCCUUCCUAUUUGCUCCACCUCCUACCUCCUUGCCGGCAGUCCAUGGUGACGUUGUUGCCUAGGAUCCCGUCCGCGCCUCUCUGCGCUGCUGCUCGUCCUCCCGCUCUUCUACCUCCUCCUGCCCCCACCCCUUUGCGCCACAACCCAAACCCCACCGAGGCCUCCUCCAUGGUCUUCUGCGCGCCGCCCUGGACCUCCGUCCACUCCCCAGUGCGGUGAAGGCAGGUGGUUCUUCCUCCUCGUCACCUCCGCCAUCGACGCUACCGCACAAGGUGUUCAGUGUGGCCUCCUCCCGCCGCAAGCCGCCUCCCCGCCUCCUGCUCUACCUUUGGAUCCAUCCCCCAGCACUGUCUUCUAUUCUUUGACCCGCCCACCGCCGCCGUGGCCUCGCGCCUCGCUCCUCCCGGCGAACCUCCACCUCUGCAGUUCCCACGACACCUCCCAUUUCCCCAUUUGGAGCCCUGUUUUCUGCAUAGCUUUGAGCUUAGUGUGCAAACAACUUGCAGACAACAUGCAUCCUUUAAUUUUCGUCGUGGCAGAUUGUCCAGGUUUGAUUGCUGCACAUUUGGUUAAUCACUACACCUUUAGUUCUUCAAUUAUGUUUGUUUUUACAGAAUUGCUGUAAAAGUAGCAUAUGAAUAAUCAAACUAAUAUGUUCCUUAAACAAGAUCUGAAGCCACAAGAAUUCGUAAAAUUAACUGUUCCAGAAACUAUCCCCCAAGUGGAACAUCCAAGAUCUGCAAGUUACUAUUAUCUCCAUGUGUCUACAAGUACUCUGGUGGAGUAGUUAUUUACUUGUUAAUGUGAACAAGAGGAUUUGUAUGUUUCUCCUGUCUGAUGGUCUGAUUAAUUCUACUGGGGAUAGUUUGGGACAAUGGUGUAAUUUGGGGUGUUGGGCCUAUGGUUCUAGGUGAAUCGCGAUUGUAUUUCUUUGCCGGACAGCAAUAGUAGUAUAUGUAGCAUUUGUUUGUAUGUCAAGUUUCAAAAACAUACAGGAAGGUCAGAGCCAGACAAGAUGAUUGUACUGGACCUAGAUGGUGAUUUGUUCAAAAACACUGUUCCUAAUGUUUGUACUUGCUACGUUCCAUUGUCCUUCAAGUCAUGGAGCAGCUAGUCCUGAAUACUAGAAUGCCCUUGAAGAUGCAGAUAAUAUUGCUUCA